ACCCUCCUGCGUCCCUUUCACAGUGAGAUUAGUGCUUCUCUUCAAAGGAAAGAAUCCUCACUGUGUUUAAUUUUUUCCAAGGCUGGAGAAGUUCUCUCCAUCCCAAAGAAGGGCCCGCUGUCCUGCAUGAGGCAAACCUGGUUCCACCAAAUAAUGUUUCUGAUUUGGAGGGGGUUUGGAACUGUUGUUGCUGCAAACGAUUUUCAUUUGAUAAAGCCUAAUCGUGUUGUGAAACCCAAACGGAAUAUGUCUCAAAGGUAGAAAGUACUCAAAUGUGGCUUCCACUGUCUAGCUGUUGCUAGGGUCCCCUUUUUUCACAAUAGGUUUGGUUUGUUGUUGUUGUUGUUGUUGUUGUUUCUUUUGAUAUCUCCAGGCUGAGUAAAACUGGGUGUUGCCUGGAGAGGGAAAAUUAGCUCCAAAGUUGGCAGAACACAGAUUUGGUUAAGAACACUGUCCAGCCACUUCUGCUAGACUUAAGAUUUUACUUUGGAAUUAAGACUCUAUUUCUACACCAAAUAUUUGGCUUCUUACAAGUUAAUUAGGAGGGUGUCCUGCACUUCCUGAUCUUGGCCAUCAAGACAAGUGCUUUCAAAGGAGUCCCCAGGACCCCACUCUGAUAGAAUCCUGUGAUCCUGGCCUUAAUGGCCACUGAUUAUGUGGUUAAUUGAGCUCAUUGCUGUCUUGGCAAGCAGAGCA
rnacentral:lncRNA from 1 species